rnacentral:misc_RNA from 1 species
GGAAGUAAAGUCGUAACAAGGUUUCCGUAGGUGAACCUGCGGAAGGAUCAUUAUUGUAUAACCGAGGUGCGAGGGCUGUCGCUGACCCGAAAGGUCGUGCACGCCCGAGUGCCCUCACACACAUCCAUCUCACCCCUAUGUGCACCACCGCGUGGGUCCCCCUUUGGCUUGUUCGGAGGGGGGCUUACGUUUUCACACAAACUUUGUAAGCAGUGUAGAAUGUAUUUUUUGUUUUUGCGAUCACGCAAUCAAUACAACUUUCAACAACGGAUCUCUUGGCUCUC